ACGGAAUUCCUUACUUUCCUUUUGUUCGAAACCAAACCCUAGAAAUCCUAUACUUUUCAUCUAGCCGGCAUUUUUCCAAUCCCUCUACAAUGGCGAGGAAGAGAAAAGCAGCACUGCCAAAAGUUGAAGUAGCAGAAAAGAAGUCAAAAGUAGUAGAAGAAGAACAUGACACAUCUGAAGAAGAAGUAGAAUCAGAAGAGGAGGUGGAAGAAGAGGAGGAGGUGGAAGAAGAAAGCGAGGGUUCGAAAAGAGAGACACUUAGGAAACUUCUUGAACCCUUCGGCAAAGACCAGAUCAUUGAAUUCCUCAAAGAAGCCGCGGUCAAGAACCGAUCGAUCGCUACACGAAUCAACCAAUCGGCCGAAUCCGACCCUGUUCACCGAAAGAUAUUCGUCCACGGCCUCGGCUGGGACGCCACCACUGACCAAGUCCUUUCUAUCUUCAAACAGUACGGAGAGAUUGAAGAAUGCAAAGUUGUCACAGACCAGGUCACCGGUCGAGCCAAGGGCUAUGGAUUCGUCCUUUUCAAGACUCGAGAUGGCGCCCAAAAGGCCCUCAAACAGCGCCAAAAGAAGAUCGGCAACCGAAUGACCUCGUGUCAGCUCGCUUCCGCUGGACCCGUCCCGAGCCACCCUGUUCCGGACUCCACAGGACGGAAAAUUUAUGUGGCCAACGUAGGUCCCCAUGUCAACCCCGAUAAGCUUCGUUCAUUCUUUGCUAGGUUUGGGGAGAUCGAGGAAGGUCCCUUAGGGCAUGACCCGGUUACUGGGAGACUCAAAGGAUUCGCAAUUUUCGUCUACAAGUCUGCAGAAGGCGGUAAGAAGGCACUGGAAGAGACUACAAAGGUCUUUGAAGGUUGUCAAUUACAGUGUCGGCGUGCUGUGGAAGGCCUCCGGGUCAAUAAGAAUCAAACAACAGGUGUAUCGGGUAUCUCUAGUGGUGCCGCUGUACAGCAGACUGAUGUUAAUAUUGUGAAUUAUGGUGUUGGUGUGAACCCGGGAAUGUUUGGUCAUAGUGUGAAUCCGGCUGCUGUUCUGGUCGGUCAGACUCCUGGGAUUGGUUUGGCAAAUCCGGUGCUGGCAUCAGCUUUGAAUCCGACUGCGCUGGCCCCCUCACUUGCUACUGGGUUUUCUCCCUCGAUUGGGGCAGCCGCAACUUUGGGAUUCAGUGGAAAUUAUAACAUCAAUAGCAUAAGCCCAAGUGUGAUAGGUAGUUAUGGCUCACAAGCGGCUUUGCAGGGUCUGGGUGCCUACCAGAGUGCUCAAAUGGGACAUUCUUCUGCUGGGUUAACGGUGGCUGCUGCUUCAAGGCCUCCAUCCGGUUUUGGGCCCACAGGAACUACCUUACACCCCUACUUUGGCCGCUAGAGGUACCAAGGAAUUUGUGGUUCUUCACACUUGAAGGGGAUUGCUGAAUCACUUGUCAUUCAAGAGCCGGAGAUGCGAUUCUUAAGUUUAACGUCUAGGGUGGUGGUUAAUGUCAUCUUGGAUUAGAGUUAUUUUGUGAUGGCUAGGUAGUUUGGUGGCUGCAUUAUUGGCUUUUUUGACUUGUUUAUGUUACCAAGGCUGUUGUGGCUCUUCACACUUGAAGGGGAUUGCUGAAUCUCUACUGGGUGGUCAUUGAAAAGCAGGAGGCCUCAUAUUAUUAGCCUAAACUAUGAAAUAUCUCUCAGGGAACACCUUUGUUAUUUUGUUUCUUGUUUAAACUUCUGUUGCUUUGAGUAUUCUCUCUCUCACCCCCCACCCACCCACCCCAUAUUAUUAGUUGGUCACAGAUCCCGAGGCAGCUGACCAAACAAGGCUCCUGCCUGUUCGAUUACACGAAUUCACACUCUCCUUAGCCCAUUCAAACUUAGGGCCCUUAAAAACUUGGUGAUUAAAUUUGAAAUUGAAUAUGGCCCUUUACAACUCAGGCCCUUGAAAACUUGGUGAUUAAAUUUGAAAUUGAAUAUGGCCCUUUACAACUCAGGGCCCUUGAAAACUUGGUGAUUAAAUUCAAAAAUGAAUGUGGCCCUCUACUACUUUAUGUGUAUCUUAGUGUGUAUUUCAGUAGUUAACUCUUAAGUUAAAUGCGGUCUUUUACUAAUUUUAUGUGUUAAUAUGUAUGUAUGUCAGUAAUUACUUUGAAAUUGAAUGCAGUCUUUUAUUAUUGGGGUAGAUAAUAUAUUUUUUUACGAAAGUGGAAUAAAUAUAAGUUAGUUAUGUAUUACUUAUAUAAUUGAUUUGAUAUCGUAAUGUCUCAGAUUUUUUGACAUUUUUUAUUUAAAUUUUCCUUGUCUCGUUUAGCAUGCCACGUGGGUCGUUCGGGGCAUUUUCUUGAACUCAGGAGUUUUAGAUAUGUAUUUUGAGUAUUUUUAGCAUGUUAGAAUUUACGGGAUUGAUUUUAGAGUUAGUCGGAGUCGGGACGACUUUUGUGCUCGGGAAUUUCUCCCGAUUUUUUCCAUUUUUGUUUAAAUGUUGUAUUUGACAUGAUUUAUAUAUAUGUGCGUAUAUAUAUAAUGUAGAUAUUUUUGGGACAAGUUAGGAAGAAGAAAGUCAUUUAGAGGGCAAUGGAGUAACUUUAGCACCAAAGGAUUUGAGUAACUUUAGCACCAAAGGACCACCAAGUGACACUUGGCACCAUGAGGGCCACAUAUGCAAUUUGAAGACUUUGCCAAACCCUUCUCCUUCUUCCAUUUUCAGCCAUCACCUCUCUCUCUACAAUUUCUUAUUCUCUGUCUAUAUCUUUGUAUACACACAUGUAUGCAUCUUGCCUCAAGCUUCAAGCUCACUUUUGAGGCAUUUAGAGUUGCUCAAUCUCGCCUCGGUAAAGUCGGUUAGUAGAUUUUUGGUGUGAGUUGGGUCGGUUUGGGACCAAGGUUGGGACGGUCAUGCAUUGCAUUGCAUUGCAUUUUCAUGCAAUCGGAUGAGAAAUUGUGUCAUGGCAAAUAAAUCAUGGACGACGUACCACUGCAAGUGUAGGCGUGGAGGAAGAAUUCGUCUUUAGUAACUUUUGUAACAAUGCUUAGUUGAUGGCUAGUAUUUUUUAUAAAGAUGACCUUAAGAAUCUCAAGCAUGUAUCUCUAUUCUUUUGGGACUACUUUUGACGUAUUUUGAAAAGAAACAAUGUUUAAUGAUGUA